rnacentral:tRNA from 1 species
ACCGCGGCGAGGGCGUCGGACGGGCCGGCGUUGGUCACGCCGACGGUGAGCGCCGCCGUGCCACCGGGGGCGAUCGUGCCGGCCGGGGCGGUG